UAAUACUAGCGGUCCAAGUCGCAGCCAUUUUUAUUGGGUCUAAAACAUCCGUAGCUUGUUUAAUAAGUUCUUUGUGAAAUCUUAUCUCUUAAGGGUAAGGCAUGCGAAGAAUACUGUUAAGCUAGAGACUGGAAGACGUAGGAAGUACGAUCAAAGUAGUGGUAAAAUAUUUUAAUCUUGAUUGGACUCACAAUAGCGAAGGCAUCCUACGAGUACAGUUCUGACAGUAAAGGAUGAAGGCUAGGGGCGCAAAACGGAUUAGAUACCCGUGUAGUCCUAGCAGUAAACUCUGCACACUAAACAUUAGUACCUCUUCGAGAGGUAUUAGUGCUGAAGGGAAGCCGAAGAGUGUGCUACCUGGGAAGUAUAGCCGCAAGGCCG
rnacentral:rRNA from 1 species